GACGAACGCUGGCGGCGUGCUUAACACAUGCAAGUCGAACGGAAAGGCCCUGCUUUUGUGGGGUGCUCGAGUGGCGAACGGGUGAGUAACACGUGAGUAACCUGCCCUUGACUUUGGGAUAACUUCAGGAAACUGGGGCUAAUACCGGAUAGGAGCUCCUGCUGCAUGGUGGGGGUUGGAAAGUUUCGGCGGUUGGGGAUGGACUCGCGGCUUAUCAGCUUGUUGGUGGGGUAGUGGCUUACCAAGGCUUUGACGGGUAGCCGGCCUGAGAGGGUGACCGGCGACAUUGGGACUGAGAUACGGCCCAGACUCCUACGUGAGGCAGCAGUGGGGAAUAUUGUACAAUGGGCGGAAGCCUGAUGCAGCAACGCCGCGUGCGGGAUGACGGCCUUCGGGUUGUAAACCGCUUUCGCCUGUGACGAAGCGUGAGUGACGGUAAUGGGUAAAGAAGCACCGGCUAACUACGUG
rnacentral:rRNA from 1 species